CCUACGGGUGGCAGCAGUGAGGAAUAUUGGUCAAUGGCCGAAAGUCUGAACCAGCCAAGUAGCGUGAGGGAAGACUGCCCUAUGGGUUGUAAACUUCUUUUAUACGGGGAUAAAAUGUUCCACGUGUGGGUGUUUGUAGGUACCGUAUGAAUAAGGAUCGGCUAAUUCCGUGCCAGCAGCCGCGGUAAUACGGAGGGUCCGGGCGUUAUCCGGAUUUAUUGGGUUUAAAGGGAGCGUAGGCGGGUUGUUAAGCGUGUCGUGAAAUUUUGUGGCUCAACCAUGAAAGUGCGGUGGAAACUGGAGGCCUUGAGUACGGGGAAGGCAGGCGGAAUUCGUGGUGUAGCGGUGAAAUGCUUAGAUAUCACGAAGAACCCCGAUUGCGAAGGCAGCUUGCUGCAGUGUAACUGACACUGAAGCUCGAAAGUGUGGGUAUCAAACAGGAUUAGAUACCCGGGUAGUC
rnacentral:rRNA from 1 species